CGAGUGAAGCGGGAAAAGCUCAAAUUUAAAAUCUGGCAGUCUCUCUUUUCUUCUUUGGCUGUCCGAGUUGUAAUCUAGAGAAGUGCUUACCNGUGCUGGACCAUGUAUAAGUCUCCUGGAAUGGAGCGUCAUAGAGGGUGAGAAUCCCGUCUUUGACAUGGAGUUGCCAGUGCAUAGUGGUGUGCUCUCAAAGAGUCGAGUUGUUUGGGAAUGCAGCUCUAAAUGGGUGGUAAACUCCAUCUAAAGCUAAAUAUUGGCGAGAGACCGAUAGCGAACAAGUACCGUGAGGGAAAGAUGAAAAGGACUUUGGAAAGAGAGUUAAACAGUAUGUGAAAUUGUUGAAAGGGAAACACUUGAAGUCAGUUGUGUUUGCUAGGGAUCAACCCAGCUGAUUUUU
rnacentral:rRNA from 1 species